rnacentral:misc_RNA from 1 species
UCCAGUUUAACACUGGCAGUCUCUAUAGAGUCCCCAACUUAAUGCUGGCAACUAUAGACAGGGGUUGCGCUCGUUGCCGGACUUAACCGAACAUUUCACAACACGAGCUGACGACAGCCAUGCAGCACCUGUCACCGUGUCCCCGAAGGGAAAACUGCAUUUCUGCAGCGGUCACGGGAUGUCAAGCCUAGGUAAGGUUCUGCGCGUUGCUUCGAAUUAAACCACAUACUCCACCGCUUGUGCGGGCCCCCGUCAAUUCCUUUGAGUUUUAGCCUUGCGACCGUACUCCCCAGGCGGGAUACUUAAUGCGUGAACUCCGGCACUCAGAGGGUUAACACUCCGAACGCCUAGUAUCCAUCGUUUACGGCGUGGACUAC